UACGUAGGUGGCAGGCGUUGUCCGGAUUUAUUGGGUUUAAAGGGUGCGUAGGUGGUCUAAUAAGUCAGUGGUGAAAGCUGGUUGCUCAACAAUCAAGUUGCCAUUGAUGCUGCUAGACUUGAGAGAAGUGGAGGUUCAUGGAAUGGAUAGUGUAGCGGUGAAAUGCAUAGAUAUUAUCCAGAACGUCAAUUGCGAAGGCAGUGGGCUGUACUUUUUCUGACACUGAGGCACGAAAGCGUGGGGAUCAAACAGG
rnacentral:rRNA from 1 species